rnacentral:lncRNA from 1 species
GGUUGCGGUGAGCCACUGAGUAACCACUGCCCUCCCGCCUGGGUGACAGAGCAAGGCUCUGUCUCAAAAAACAAAACAAAACAAAAAAAGUCCCAGCAAAAGCCUGCUUUCUAGCCAAAGCAGCCGGGAAGGGGCAUCCUGGUAUGAUAGAAGGCAUUAGGCAACUGCCACUCUAUUCCCUCAAGAGGCUGUGCUGAGGUACGCCAAAAGGUACGCCAACACCCCUGCUGGGGUAGCCUCAGAAGAGGUUAAGUAGGGAGCUGGGCCUCCAUGUGAGCAGGCCAGUGACAAGGCCCCACCUGGGGCACCACUGGAGACCAGGAACUCCCACCCAGCCCAGCACUAAUCGGGGCCCUGCCUCGGGUGUCAGCAGAGGCCUUGCAGGGAGCCUGGGCUUCCACCUCCACCCACAAUGGGCGGCACCCACCCUUCCCCUGCAGGGCCAUGUCAGGGAAGGACGGCUAAAACAGAAGGGCACUAAGAAGAUGUCAAGAGGACAAAGACUGACAAUCUGAUAGGGAAUGGGCAAAAUACAAGCAUAGAAAAGAGGAUAAGAAUCGUGCUACCUUCUUAAGCUGCUUCCAUGAUCAAUGAUCUGUACCUAAAAUCAUUUUCACCUAUGGUAAAUAGCAAGCAAGAGGUGGGAUUCUUACUACUGCUUCACAGGAUGUGACACACAUACGCUCUAAACACAUGGAAAGAUCCUCAGUGUCGUUAGUAAGCAGAGAAACUCUCAUGGUUUGGAUUGACCAUAAAGAGACAAUCAUUCAUAGGCCAUUUACACACUAGAUGGUCAUGAGAGUAAGAAGUUCACCACAUCAAGUGCUGGAGAGGAUGUGGAGCAACAGGAAGUCUUUUCAUUGCAAGUGGGAGUGUGAGUUAGGACAUGUGGAGAACAUUUUGGAAUUAUAUUGAAAAGUUGAACAUUCACACAGUUGAUGAUCCAGCAAUGCCACUUCUGGGCAUAAACCCCUAAUGAAACCCUCACACACAUCAAUAGAUGUGCACAAAUGUUCCCAGCAGCACUGUUUACUGUUCACAGUAACAAAAAGCUGUAAAUACCCGAAGUCCAUCAUCACGCUAAUACGUCCUCAACUGCAGUACACGCUGCCCGCAGUGUGACAGCACGGCACCAAGAGUGAACGGGUGACAGCUCCCAACCCCCGCCAGCACGGGCCAUCCCCACACGCCCGCAAUGUGACAGCACGGCACCAAGAGUGAACAGGUGACAGCUCCUGACCCCCACCAGCACGGGCCAACCCCACACACAAUGCCAGUCACAGAAGAGCACAGUCAGGAACGUUAGAAAAACCCGAAACAAUGAGCUUUCUAUUUUACAAAAAGGAGGGACAGUGGGGGAAAGAUAAAUUCUUUAAAAAUGUCAACGCUGACCAGACACAGUGGCUCACGCCUGUCAUCCCAGCACUUUGGGAGGCCGAGGUGGGUAGAUCACCUGAGGUCAGAGUUCAAGACCAUCCUGGCCAAUGUGGUGAAACUCCAUGUCUACUAAAAAUACAAAAAUUAGCCAAGCGUGGUGGCUGAGAUAGGAGAAUCACUUGAACUUGGGAGGCAGAGGUUCAAGUGAGCCGAGACUGCACCACUGCACUCCAGCCUGGGCAGCGAAGAGACCCUGUCUCCAAAAAAAAAAAAAAAAAAAAA